rnacentral:rRNA from 1 species
GAGUUUGAUCAUGGCUCAGAGCGAACGCUGGCGGCAUGCUUAACACAUGCAAGUCGCACGGUCAGCAAUGGCAGUGGCGGACGGGUGAGUAACACGUAGGAAUCUAUCUCUGGGUGGGGGACAACAGUGGGAAACUACUGCUAAUACCGCAUGAUACCUGAGGGUCAAAGGCGUAAGUCGCCUGGAGAGGAGCCUGCGUCUGAUUAGCUUGUUGGUGGGGUAAAGGCCUACCAAGGCUACGAUCAGUAGCUGGUCUGAGAGGAUGAUCAGCCACAUUGGGACUGAGACACGGCCCAAACUCCUACGGGAGGCAGCAGUGGGGAAUAUUGGACAAUGGGCGAAAGCCUGAUCCAGCAAUGCCGCGUGUGUGAAGAAGGUCUUCGGAUUAUAAAGCACUUUUGGCAGGGACGAUGAUGACGGUACCCGCAGAAUAAGCCCCGGCUAACUUCGUGCCAGCAGCCGCCGU